rnacentral:rRNA from 1 species
AUUGAACGCUGGCGGCAUGCCUUACACAUGCAAGUCGAACGGCAGCGGACCUUCGGGUGCCGGCGAGUGGCGAACGGGUGAGUAAUAUAUCGGAACGUACCUUUCAGUGGGGGAUAACGUAGCGAAAGUUACGCUAAUACCGCAUAUUCUGUGAGCAGGAAAGCAGGGGAUCGCAAGACCUUGCGCUGAUUGAGCGGCCGAUAUCAGAUUAGCUAGUUGGUGAGGUAAAGGCUCACCAAGGCGACGAUCUGUAGCGGGUCUGAGAGGAUGAUCCGCCACACUGGAACUGAGACACGGUCCAGACUCCUACGGGAGGCAGCAGUGGGGAAUUUUGGACAAUGGGCGCAAGCCUGAUCCAGCCAUGCCGCGUGAAGUGAAGAAGGCCUGGUGUAAG